rnacentral:tRNA from 1 species
GCCUGGGUGGCUCAGUCGUUGAGUGUCCGACUUCAGCUCAGGUCACAAUCUCACGGUCCGUGGGUUCGAGCCCCGCGUCGGGCU